rnacentral:tRNA from 1 species
GGAGAGGUGGCAGAGUGGCUGAACGCGCACGCUUGGAAAGCGUGUUUACGGAAACGUAACGAGGGUUCGAAUCCCUCCCUCUCCG